CUGCAUGGCGUGUCGUCAGCUCGUGCCGUGAGGUGUUGGGUUAAGUCCGCAAUGAGCGCAACCCCUAUUCUCAGUUGCCAGCACAUAAUGGUGGGCACUCUGUGGAGACUGCCCGGGUUAACCGGGAGGAAGGUGGGGAUGACGUCAAGUCAUCAUGGCCCUUACGCCUAGGGCUACACACGUACUACAAUGGUGGGUACAAAGGGCAGCGAAACCGCGAGGUCGAGCGAAUCUCAAAAAACCCAUCAUAGUCCGGAUUGCAGUCUGCAACUCGACUGCAUGAAGUUGGAAUCGCUAGUAAUCCCGGAUCAGCAUGCCGGGGUGAAUACGUUCCCGGGCCUU
rnacentral:rRNA from 1 species